UACGGGGGGAGCAAGCGUUGUUCGGAUUUACUGGGCGUAAAGGGCGCGUAGGCGGCGUGACAAGUCACUUGUGAAAUCUCCGGGCUUAACUCGGAACGGUCAAGUGAUACUGUCGUGCUAGAGUACAGAAGGGGCAACUGGAAUUCUCGGUGUAGCGGUGAAAUGCGUAGAUAUAGGAAGGAACACCAGUGGCGAAGGCGACCACCUGGACUGAUACUGACACUGAGGUGCGAAAGCGUGGGGAGCAAACAGG
rnacentral:rRNA from 1 species